rnacentral:rRNA from 1 species
CGCGCAGGCGGAUUAGCAAGUCAGAGGUGAAAUCCUACAGCUUAACUGUAGAACUGCCUUUGAAACUGUUAGUCUUGAGUACGGAAGAGAGAAGCGGAAUUCCAGGUGUAGUGGUGAAAUACGUAGAUAUCUGGAAGAACACCAGUUGCGAAGGCGGCUUCUUGGUCCGUUACUAACGCUGAGGCGCGAAAGCGUGGGGAGCAAACA